UAUGGCCACAUCACGUUGAAACACCGGUUUCCGUACGGUCACCGAAGUUAAGCAACGUCCACCCUGGUCAGUACCACGAUGGGUGGCCGCUGGGUAAUUCCAGGUGCUA